AGAGGGCAAAGAAGUGGGUGGGGGGGAAAAAAAAGAAGGCAAAGAAACUUCAGAAAGAAAGAGGCGGGAGGAGAGAGGUGGCUUCCAGUCACGCAGGCAGAGUGCACUCACUGAUCCCAAACUCUGUCUGUUCUCUAUACUUCUCCAGGUCAAUCUGGAUGCUGGUUUUGAAGAAGUCCAGCUUGGCCUUGAGCUGCUGGGCCAUGGAGGCCAUGGCGUUCUUCAUCUUGGAGAGGCAGCUGUUAUUCCGAAGGAGAUUCAUCCUGCGAUAAGACGCCCAAAGCGUCAGAGGAACUUGAAUUCCUUCACAAAGUCAAGUGGUCCACGACCUGCUAUGUGUCCCUUCCUUGGAAAAACUGCUAUGUCCCACCAGGGAGCAUAGCUGCUGCCUCGGCUCAGCUCUCACCUUCAAGUUCAAGAUGUCAUCUAGGGCUCUGAAACAGCCAUUGGGACCGUACUGGGGAUCUGUGCCCCUUUGCCGCGGGUGCCACAUGAGCAUCAGCUGCAGCCACUUCUCCAGACGUUCGGCCAGGACACUAAAGGAGCAAAGGGUCAUCCCAGUAAACCUUACAGUGACCCUGAAGCUUUGACAAUGCUUGCGAGAGCUGGGUGGACUGCUUGUCCAUCUCCGUGGUUUCCUGAUCAGCACCAUGCCUCUGUGUGUACAUAUGUGUUAACACACAUAUAAAGAAAAUGUGAAAAAAUUCAGCCAAGAUUUAAUUAUUUGUGUAAAUGAAGCACAUAUUUUAUUAAUCUCAUUAGUAUAUAAGUUUAAUAUCUGAAUGUUUUAAUUUAAUGUCUUUAAUAAAAUGUAAUAUUUAUCUUUAAAAAGUA